GACGAACGCUGGCGGCGUGCUUAACACAUGCAAGUCGAACGGAAAGGCCCUGCUUUUGUGGGGUGCUCGAGUGGCGAACGGGUGAGUAACACGUGAGUAACCUGCCCUUGACUUUGGGAUAACUUCAGGAAACUGGGGCUAAUACCGGAUAGGAGCUCCUGCUGCAUGGUGGGGGUUGGAAAGUUUCGGCGGUUGGGGAUGGACUCGCGGCUUAUCAGCUUGUUGGUGGGGUAGUGGCUUACCAAGGCUUUGACGGGUAGCCGGCCUGAGAGGGUGACCGGCCACAUUGGGCCUGAGAUACGGCACAGCCUCCUACGGGAGGCAGCAGUGGGGAAUAGUGCACAAUGGGCGGAAGCCUGAUGCAGCAAAGCAGCGUGCGGGAUGACGGCCUUCGGGUUGUAAACCGCUUUCGCCUGUGACGAAGCGUGAGUGACGGUAAUGGGUAAAGAAGCACCGGCUAACUACGUG
rnacentral:rRNA from 1 species